GCUGGGCAUGGUGGUACAUGCCUGUAAUCCCAGCAGCUCAGGAGGCUGAGGCAGGAGGAUUGCAAGUUCAAAGCCAGCCUCAG
rnacentral:sRNA from 1 species